rnacentral:lncRNA from 1 species
AGCUGGGACCACAGGCAUGCGCCACCAUGCCAGAGUACUAAAAAGAUGUGCACUCAAGGAUCAAGACUAAAUAAAAUUAAUAACUGUGACUGCUUCUUCAAGGACGUUCUUCAGUGAAUUUUAAGAAAAACUGGCUUUUUAAACUGUUGAGUACAUAGUGAUGAACAAUGACUGCUAAUACAGCUGGUGCCAUGGCUUUGAUUCAUGCCAAGGUCUGGGGAACUGGAAGCUAUCAAAGCCAUUCUGACACCUCGUUGGAAUCUAUCACUUGAGGGAGGAACAGUAGCCAUAAGCUCAGUGAAAAGGAGUUUGUGAAUAAUUCCCCUGAAAAGUUUCUCUCUCAAUUUGAGCAGUCAUAGAUGCAUUGCUUCUUUUUGAACCUGUGUCUUAUUCUAAUUGAGUUAUAAAGAAACAACAAUGAACUGUGGAACUGAACAGUCCACUCUGUGACAAGUUCCUCUGUACAGGUUGGUCAUUGUGUGACUUUUCUAACUUCCAUUAUGGUCCAAAAAGGGGGUUACAAGGGUAUGAUGGCUGUUGUCAGAUCUACACAGACAGGCCAGAGGCAUGUAAUUCCCUCUCUAGGAACAAACAUCAGUCACCCUCAGGGGUAAGGGAACCCAGCUGUCAGCUUUGGUAGGAAAACGCAACCUUCUCCAGAACAAGGAAAAUAAGACCACCCACCACGUCACAUUCUUGAGGUGUUUGUGCUGAUCCUUCUCUUUAAUCUUAACAUUGUGGAAUCUCCACGGCUUUGCUUCCUCUCAGCCCGCUCUCACCCACUCCACCCAUUCCAAUACACAGGCACUGGGUGAAGGACGGAACUUAGCUCAAAAGGUCUCUAUCGCUUGAGGUCGGGCUUGCUCCUUCGUGGUAGGCAUUCCAUCAUCUGGAUUGCAACAGAACUGCAAACCACAUUGCUUUCUAAGAGACUAAACCCAAGAGACUAACCCCAGUCCAGGGCGUAGCCACCUGCCUCUCAGCCCUAAUUACAGACUGUACCUUCUGCUCAUGAAGGAGCCCUGCUCUAACUUCUGGGAAUUAUAUGGUUGCAUUAAGGUAUGGACACAUUCCUUUUCUCUCUCGACACCAAAAAGGAUACUAUAUCUGCUUGAUCAAUAGUCUACCUCUGACUUUAAAGUACUUACUAGAGUAUAAGUUCCACAAGGGCAGGAUCUUGUCUGUUUCUGUUUACCUUCGUAUCCCCAGUACUGGCACAAUGCCUGGUUCUUAGUAUGUGUUCAAUAAUUAUCUGUUGAAUAAAUGAUUAAGUGAGUGAUUUAACUGGACACGAAAACAGGCAUAUCAGCUGGGUGCAGUGGCUCACACCUGUAAUCCCAGCACUUUGGGAAGCUAAAAUGGGAAGGUCACCUG